GAUUAUGGCUCAGGAUGAACGCUAGCGGCAGGCUUAACACAUGCAAGUCGAGGGGCAGCGGGAUGUAGCAAUACAUUGCCGGCGACCGGCGGAUGGGUGCGUAACGCGUAUGCAACCUACCUUAUACAGGGGAAUAACCUUUCGAAAGGGAGACUAACACCCCAUGGUAUUGAUUUAAGGCAUCUUAGAUUAAUUAAAUAUUUAUAGGUAUAAGAUGGGCAUGCGUAUGAUUAGCUAGUUGGUAAGGUAACGGCUUACCAAGGCGACGAUCAUUAGGGGUUCUGAGAGGAAGGUCCCCCCACACUGGUACUGAGACACGGACCAGACUCCUACGGGAGGCAGCAGUGAGGAAUAUUGGUCAAUGGGCGCAAGCCUGAACCAGCCAUGCCGCGUGCAGGAAAGACGGCCUUAUGGGUUGUAAACUGCUUUUACAUAAGACUAACCGUAUAUUUGCGAAUAUACCUGAAUGUAUUAUGAGAAUAAGGAUCGGCUAACUCCGUGCCAGCCGCAGC
rnacentral:rRNA from 1 species